rnacentral:rRNA from 1 species
UACGUAGGGUGCGAGCGUUAAUCGGAAUUACUGGGCGUAAAGCGUGCGCAGGCGGUUCGUUAAGUCAGAUGUGAAAGCCCCGGGCUCAACCUGGGAACUGCAUUUGAAACUGGCAGGCUAGAGUUCUGGAGGGGGUAGCGGAAUUCCUGGUGUAGCGGUGAAAUGCGUAGAUAUCAGGAGGAACACCGGUGGCGAAGGCGGCUACCUGGACAGAAACUGACGCUGAGGCGCGAAAGCUAGGGGAGCAAACAGG